rnacentral:rRNA from 1 species
UGAUUGAUAAGAUUAAUUCUGUCUUUAGAAUUUAAUUAGCUAUUUAAGGUAAUAUUAAAUAUAAAUUUUUGUGUGGUUUUUAAUUUGUCUAAAUGAUAUUUUAUAAAUUUAUUUUUAGUUUUUAGUUUUAAAUUAUUCAUGUAAUUAUGUAUUUAGUUAAUUGUUCAAUAGAAUUGUAAAAUUUUGUGCCAGCAUACGCGGUUAUACAAUUAAUUCGAGUUAAUUUUUUUGGUUAAUAUUAAUUUUUAUUAUUGGAGUUAUGUUUUUGUUUUAUAAGGUGAAAUUUUUAAUUUAUUUAUAUGCUCUUGGUUUAAUAUUAUAUGAAAUUUGGGA